GAUGAACGCUGGCGGCGUGCCUAAUACAUGCAAGUCGAGCGAACGGACGAGAAGCUUGCUUCUCUGAUGUUAGCGGCGGACGGGUGAGUAACACGUGGAUAACCUACCUAUAAGACUGGGAUAACUUCGGGAAACCGGAGCUAAUACCGGAUAAUAUUUUGAACCGCAUGGUUCAAAAGUGAAAGACGGUCUUGCUGUCACUUAUAGACGGAUCCGCGCUGCAUUAGCUAGUUGGUAAGGUAACGGCUUACCAAGGCAACGAUGCAUAGCCGACCUGAGAGGGUGAUCGGCCACACUGGAACUGAGACACGGUCCAGACUCCUACGGGAGGCAGCAGUAGGGAAUCUUCCGCAAAGGGCGAAAGCCUGACGGAGCAACGCCGCGUGAGUGAUGAAGGUCUUCGGAUCGUAAAACUCUGUUAUUAGGGAAGAACAUAUGUGUAAGUAACUGUGCACAUCUUGACGGUACCUAAUCAGAAAGCCACGGCUAACUACGUG
rnacentral:rRNA from 1 species